AACGAACGCUGGCGGCAUGCCUAACACAUGCAAGUCGAACGAGACCUUCGGGUCUAGUGGCGCACGGGUGCGUAACGCGUGGGAACCUGCCCUUAGGUUCGGAAUAACUCCCCGAAAGGGGUGCUAAUACCGGAUAAUGUCUUCGGACCAAAGAUUUAUCGCCUUUGGAUGGGCCCGCGUUGGAUUAGCUAGUUGGUAGGGUAAAAGCCUACCAAGGCGACGAUCCAUAGCUGGUCUGAGAGGAUGAUCAGCCACACUGGGACUGAGACACGGCCCAGACUCCUACGGGAGGCAGCAGUGGGGAAUAUUGGACAAGGGGCGAAAGCCUGAUCCAGCAAUGCCGCGUGAGUGAUGAAGGCCUUAGGGUUGUAAAGCUCUUUUACCCGAGAUGAUAAUGACAGUACCGGGAGAAUAAGCGCCGGCUAACUCCGUG
rnacentral:rRNA from 1 species